CGGAUAUAGCUCAGAAGGGAGAGCAUCAAUAAUAUGAAGGUCGCAGGUUCGAUUCCUGUUAUCACGA
rnacentral:tRNA from 1 species